AAAUUGAAGAGUUUGAUCAUGGCUCAGAUUGAACGCUGGCGGCAGGCCUAACACAUGCAAGUCGAGCGGUAACACAGAGGGCUUGCUCUCGGGUGACGAGCGGCGGACGGGUGAGUAAUGUCUGGGAAACUGCCUGAUGGAGGGGGAUAACUACUGGAAA
rnacentral:rRNA from 1 species